UCCUCUUGCAUCAAAGGAAACUAGUCAUUUACAAUCCGGCAGACAGAAACUUCCGAGCCGUCUUUGCCGGGGAUGUACACUCUUCUCAAGUGGCUUGUACAUGGAGAGCCUUGCUUCACCCACCAUGAAAUACUCCAUGGUCAGAUAGCUGAACGUAUUAUCACGUACUUAAUUAAAGAUAAUCAUCAGUAAUCACAAGGGCGAAAGAAAGAAGAAAAUCAGGCUAUCCACUAUUAAGUUACUAUCUUGUCCAAAUGAUUGUAAUAUUAAUUUGUAUCUUCCUCAUUAUUUCACUUCCAACGUGAACUGGUUUGUUUGCUUAUGGGUUGGACUCAAGCCAGUGGCAGUCAAAGAUUCACGAUAUAAUUAAAUAUGUACCUUAAAAAAAAUUAUGAUGUCAUGAAGUAUAUUUUUGUGUUUUUGACUAAUAUCUAAGAUUAAAAAGAAUACAAUAUUAUAAAGCACCAUAGAAUCAUUAUUAUAAUACAAAUUAAGAGUAAUGCUACACUAAAUUUUUAAACCAUAUAAUACAUCACAAAUAGAAAAUAAUUACGUUAAUUUAUACGUAACUAAUAAUCCAAUCAGAAAAUUCAAAAUUUUAAAUCAAAUUUUAAAGAAAUUUUUCAGAAGUCGCCACACGAGACAGUUGUAGUUCUCAACGAAUCAAAAGCUGACGUCUGUCUCCUUUGUUUUCAAACAAGAAAAUGCCAAUUAAAAUUUUUAUCAAACAAAAUAUCUAAAUUGUCCCUAUCAGACCACCUCGUCAACACCAACUACACACCUAACACCACAAUUACCUCCAUCGCCGACCGACGAUUUUAUCGGUGAAUAUCUUCUCUCUUCUCUUACUUGUCUUUUUCAUCUCCUUCUAUUUCUCCACUAUUUCUUCGACAUGGAAGCUAAGGGAUGUUCGGCGUCAACUCCAACCACAGAUCUGGUGUCGCCAACCGCCGAUCUAGUAGCUGGUCAAGUGAUUAAAUUCCCGUGUAACCGUGUUCUUCUCCGACGAAGGGAGGAGGAUAAAAAGAAAGAUAUGAGAAAGAAAGAGAAAGGGCAACAGACAGGUAUGAAAGGGAGGUAUAGGUGAGGU
rnacentral:lncRNA from 1 species